rnacentral:lncRNA from 10 species
UGAGUUGCAAAUCAGAAACUUGAAGAUGAAAUGGCUACUACGCUGGGUAUUGCCUUUAUCUUGAAUGCCAGCCUGAUGGUCCAAGGUGAACAAGCCUUCCUGUGUUUUCUGAAUGUGCAGUUCCCCCGCACUUUGCCUGCCACCAUGUAAGAUGUGUCUUUGCGCCUCCUUUGCCUUCCACCAUGAUUGUGCGGCCUCCCCAGCCAUGUGGAACGGUGUCUGGGGUCUGUCAGGAUCAACAGGCCUUGAGAGAGACUGACCCAGAGGACUACUAAAAGGGACACCUGCCCAGGCCAGCCUAUUCUACCAUCCUCGUUCUCCUGCAAAACCAAGGCCACGUCAUUUCAGCAGAGGACCUGCGUGUGGAAGGACCCUGCAGCUGGCCCAUCACAGGAGAGGCCCAGACUCACCUCCCAAGGGGACCCUGGCACAUGAAGAUGCUGGUUCUCCUGGGAGUGCUGCCCUGGCCCACAGGAUAGAAGCGCAGGAUGGUCACCCAUGUCUGCUCUUAUUGAAUGUGUCUUAGAAGCGG